CAAGAAGGCAGCAUCUAUAAGCUAGGAAGGAGGCCCUCACCAGACUUGGAAUCUGCUGGCUUCCUGAUCUUGGCCUUUCUAGCCUCCAGAACUGAGAGCCUGGGCAGGUUUUCUAUUCUCCUGAGUGGAACCAUCAGACUUUUCUUGAGGGAUUGGCCCUCUAGUGAAGAGCAUGGAGUGGACUGGGCCAGGGAAAGAUCCUCAGAUAAUCCUUACAUACUAGAAUGAGGUGAAGCCAGAAAGGAAGAGUCAUAAUCAAAGAAGAGAGUGAUCAAGAAUCCAAAAUAGACAGAGAGAGCAGGCUCUUAGAGAAAUGGGAGAACUACCGCACUGACUCUGCACGUAGGAGACAGGCAGGAGAGGAGCGCCCCAGCCAGAGCUCAACAUGCGCAAACAGGAAGUGUGUCCGAGGUUUUCUGGAGCUCACAGGAGCCGGGGACCCACAGCCAGACGUUUAUCUGAAAGAAAAGCAGACAAGACAAACUAAAUCAGCAACCAUCCCUUUGGAUGCCAGCUGACCUCGGAUGGAGAUUUAGUGCUAGAUGUAAAAGGCUUUGUUUACAGACAAUUAAAAACCACAUAAAUUUAAAUUGUCAAAGAAGAAAUGGUUUCCAAAGCUUCUAACAGCCUGGUAGCCCCUCCUCAGCCCUGUGCAGGAAAGGCCCAGAGGCAAAUACAAAGCCACCAACCCAAAUGCCUGUGGAGUUUGCCAGAAAGCCAGAUCCUGCUGCUUCUGCUGCUUGUUACUGAUGUUGAAAAAUAAAAUCUUAUACAGCUUCAAAUGUAGGUUCUUUGAGUGCUAAUCAAACAGCAAGAAGGCAACAGAUGACCACGGAGGAGGUGGCUGCACGAAAGUACGCCACAAAGUAUGGAAUUACUGCAAGUAGGCCUUUCGGCAAUCAAUGUGUCUGAACCUUUUGUGUGCUCUCCAUUUUUUCCCACCGAAGGAACUAGAUGCAAAGAUUAAAAAGUGACACAAACACAAACGAUCGUCAGACUUAGAGCCUGAAAUAUUCUGAAUGUUCUUAUCUGUGUAUUUUACUUCUUCCCGUCAGCCAUCAGGCAAAAGGACUGAAGCUCCAGACAAGAGCAGCUCCAUAGGAAAAAACAAAAACAAAAAAACACCCUUCCAUGUUUGCAUCAAUAUUUGGUGCUGAUGUUGAUGAAUAAGUAAUGAUGUGUAGGUGUUGAUAACAUUUAUACACAGCCCUGAUUGGUUCUGACACAGGUGCUCCAUGGAGGAUGAGGUUUACAAGCCGAAAACGGUCAGGGGAAAGCCAUGGUUUCGGGCUGUCCCUCACAGAUGCGGGAUUUUGCACCUGUGUUUGAAGUUGCUCUUUCAUUUAGUUUCUCUGCAGAAAAGCCAGGCACAAUGUUCAAACUGGGAGCACCUGUGUUUGGGGCCAACUUGGACUAUUUUGUGGCCUGAAAGUGGUCUCUUAGAUCCAUUACUUAAACUUAACAAGAAAACUUUUUUUUCCCCUUGGAGUUUUAAAAUUGGAGGUUAAAAAAAUUAAGUUAUGGAUACACAUAUUAGUCUCAUCACAGGACCAAGCAUAUGCAAAGUGUUGUACAGCUUACUUACAUUAUUCAAGGACUUGAGUGAUAAAAGACAAAUGCCAUUAAAAAUUGGAUGAGCCCCGAAACCCUGCUCAUCGAUUGAAAUCUUUGUUUAAAUCACAAGGCAAUUUUCCUGUUAGGGAUGCGACAUUUAGGCACCAGAGUCAACUCAAAUUUAAUACAAUCUUAUUCUAUUCUAAUUUAAAGGCAGAAAUUGAACAUUGUUUACAGCUAAAUUAAAAUUU
rnacentral:lncRNA from 1 species